rnacentral:lncRNA from 1 species
CUCAUCCAUUCUUUUCUCCUUUCCCUCUAGGAAAGGGCACACAAGACCUUCCAGGAACUGCAUUCAGUCUGAGUGAAAGGGGAGGACAGGAUCAGCUGGGAGAGACAAGCCAGAGGACAUUUUGUAUUGCCCGUAUCGAUGCGUAUUAGAUGUUAUAUAAUGACAUGCCAUGGCAGGAGUAUAGUAAUGACAUGUCAUGGCUGGAGUAUAGUAAUGACAUGUCUUGGCAGGAGUAUAGUAAUGACAUGCCAUGGCAGGAGUAUAGUAAUGACGUCAUGGCAGGAGUAUAGUAAUUACAUGCCAUGGCUGGAGUAUAGUAAUGACAUGUCAUGGCUGGAGUAUAGUAAUGACAUGUCAUGGCAGGAGUAUAGUAAUGACAUGUCAUGGCAGGAGUAUGGUGAUUAGAUGGCAUGGCAGGAGUAUAGUAGUAUUGCAUGUCAUGGCAGGAGUAUAGUAAUGACAUGUCAUGGUAAGUAAGAUAUCAUGUCAUGGCAGGAGUAUAGUAAGGACAUGUCAUGGCAGGAGUAUGGUGAUUAGAUGGCAUGGCAGGAGUAUAGUAAUUGCAUGUCAUGCAGAGAAGUAAGGACAUGUCAUGGCAGGAGUAUGGUGAUUAGAUGCAUGGCAGGAGUAUGGUGAUUAGAUGGCAGGGCAGGAAGUAUAGUAUAGUCAUCCAUGGCAGGAGUAUAGUGAUUACAUGUCAUGGCGGGAUUAUAGUAUGACAUGUCUUGGCAAGGAAGUAUAGUGAUUACAUGUCAAUGGCAGGAGUAUAGUAAUGCCAUGUCUGGGCAGGAUAAUAGGAAAUGCCAUGUCUUGGCAGGAGUAUGUAAUGACAUGUCAUGGCAGGAGUAUAGUAAUGACACCUUGGCAGGACUAGAGUAGAAAAGGUCAUGGCAGGAGUAUAGUAAGAUGCAGUCAUGGCAGGAGUAUAGUGAUAACAUGUCAGGGCAGGAUAGUAGUAUUACAUGUCAUGGCAGGAGUAUAGUAUGAGCAUGUCAUGGCAGGAGUAUAAUGAUUACAUGUCAUGGCAGAGUAUAGUGAUUACAUGUCCAUGGCAGGAGUAUAGAUGAUUACAUGUCUUGGCAGAGUAUAGUGAUACACUGUCAUGGCAGGAGUAUAGUAAUGACAUGUCAUGGCAGGAGUAGUAGUGGAUUACAGUGUAGGGCGGAGUAUAGUGAUGACAUGUCAUGCAGGAGUAUGGGUAUUAAUGUCAUGGCAGGAGUAUAGUGAUAACUUGUCAUGGCAGGAGGAGAUAGUGAUUACAUGUCAUUGCGGGAUUAUAGUGAAUUCAUGUCAUGGCAGGAGUAUAGUAAUGACAUGUCAUGGCGGAGUAUGAGUAAUGACAUGUCAUGGCAGGAGUAUAGUAUGACAUGUCAUUGUGCAGGAG